rnacentral:rRNA from 1 species
GCCCAAUCCCCGAUUCGGGGGAGGCAGUGACAAGAAAUAACAACCCAGAACAUUGUUUCCGGGAUUGCAAUGAGAACAAUUUAAAAACCUUAUCGAGUACCAACUGGAGGGCAAGUUCUGGUGCCAGCAGCCGCGGUAAUUCCAGCUCCAGUAGCGUAUAUUAAAGUUGCUGCAGUUAAAAAGCUCGUAGUUGAAUUUUCUGUUUGUAAGAGUCGAAGCUUUACAGCUAAGAUUUCUUCGAACAUCUGUUUGCAAGCAUACGUUCGGCCUUCACUGGUUGGCUAUGUAAGCAAGCGCUUUACCUUGAGAAAAUUAGAGUGUUCCAGGCGAGGCUUCAGCCGGAAUACAUUAGCAUGGAAUAAUGGAAUAGGACUGGGGACUAUUUAUUGGUUUGAGGCUCCAGUAAUGAUUAAUAGGAACAGGUCGGGGGCAUUGGUACUUAACAGUCAGAGGU